GAAUGUCUUGCGAAUCUCCUCAGGCGUUUUCCCCUUGAUCAUGUCCGCCACCGUUUGGCAAGUAAGGUCGAGCAGGUUCUUGAUGUUCAAAUAAUUCGCAGCCUAAAAACAAAAGAAUUCGAAGAUAGAGAACAUAUAUAGAUCAUAAUAACAACAUUUCCACACCACAUAUUUCUACAAAUUCCUCGAAAAAUCAAACCACCAGUGCUCACAAAUCACAUACAGUCCUAGAAUCCUUUAUGAAAUUCGCCGUAUAUAACACGAAAUACACUGAUCAUGCUAAGCAUAUGGAGUACAUACAAAACAAUUAAACGAACUAAUUCAUGAACCGAAUAUCCUAAAACCUAAGAAAUCCAAUUUUCUAUGAUGAAUUAACAAAAUUCAAAGGCAAUUUAAAAAGUAAACUAGAUGAUUAACAGCAGCGGGUAAAGUAAAAUAAGAGAAGUAAGUAAUACGGACCAGGAUGAGAUCGAAGAGGGUGGCCUGGUCGACCUUGACGAAGUCGGCGUCCCAGUUCUUGAGCUCUUCGUCGCCGGAGGAGGAGGAGCGGUCGUCGGACUUAGGGGCAGCGUCCACGUGCUUCUUGCAGUACUCGAUGACCUUCGCGAGGAUCUUGCUGGUAACGUUGGGGAGUGGGAUCCCAUUGUCGGCGCAAUCGUCCUC
rnacentral:lncRNA from 1 species